AUAGAAUUCUCUAACACUUCCCUAUUCUAACACAGAUAUCAAGCUAGGGCCGGGAUGUUUAUGGUGGUUACUAUUAUGACACAGUUCAUCCCGACCCUUUCGGCAGUGCCAUGUUCUAUCCGGUUGGUUCUGAGUCCAAUGGGUGCUUUCAAGUUAGAGUCAACUGACCUGCAGAUCGCAUUUCCGCGUGCCAACAACUGGACGAACAUGUGCUACUGUUAGAUUGUGGUUUAUGGAUGGCUGUGGAGUAAGAAAAUCACCUUGAAUAGGGUUUGAGUUGUCAGGGUCCCUGUAGGAUAUUUGCAGUUGUCAGUCGACUAUUACAUUUCUGAUCAGUGCCCUUUGUGGUGGUGCCACAGCUUUUUCAUGAUGGUUGCGGGCUCAGUACAGCACUAAUUUGAUGAGCAGGUGGUACUGUUACACUGUGGCCUGGUCUGACUUGUUCUAUGAGACUGGCGAUGCAAAUAUUAGAUUGUAGUGCCUUCAGCAAACUUAGGGAUGGGGGUGUGAGAAUUAUCUGUCUUAAGAAUUAGAAUUAAGAAAAAUACGUUUAUAUCUGAGGCUGGAGUGAUAUUAAGUAUAGUCUCUAGCCUUUGCUAGUUGGCGGGGUGAAGCCUCUAGCCUUUGCUAGUUGGCGGGGAAGGGAAAAUAUAGCCUCUAGCCUUUGCUAGUUGGCGGGGAAGGGAAAAUAUAGCCUCUAGCCUUUGCUAGUUGGCGGGGGAUGGGAAAACGAAGCCUCUAGCCUCAUCUACAGUCUUAAAUUGCAUGCAUUUUAGUUUUAGUAUUUAGAAAAUACAAAUAUAAGUUGAGAAUUAAGAUUGAAGUAUGUGAAAUAUAGCCUCUAGCCUUUGCUAGUUGGCGGGGUGAAGCCUCUAGCCUUUGCUAGUUGGCGGGGUGAAGCCUCUAGCCUUUGCUAGUUGGCGGGGGAUGGGAAAACGAAGCCUCUAGCCUCAUCUACAGUCUUAAAUUGCAUGCAUUUUAGUUUUAGUAUUUAGAAAAUACAAAUAUAAGUUGAGAAUUAAGAUUGAAGUAUGUGAAAUAUAGCCUCUAGCCUUUGCUAGUUGGCGGGGUUAAGCCUCUAGCCUUUGCUAGUUGGCGGGGUGAAGCCUCUAGCCUUUGCUAGUUGGCGGGGUUAAGCCUCUAGCCUUUGCUAGUUGGCGGGGUGAAGCCUCUAGCCUUUGCUAGUUGGCGGGGUGAAGCCUCUAGCCUUUGCUAGUUGGCGGGGAGAAUGGAAAUCACCGCUAUCUUGUGAUAGCCUUGGGUUAAUCUUAGUUUUAACAUAAUUUUAAGUCUUAACUUGCAUGCAAUUUACUUAAUAGGUGACACUUCCCCAUCGGUAGGGGAAAUGCACAAGGUAUUUUGCAUCAAAGAGGGUGUAUCACCCUUGGAGAUGCUGGGAAGUGGAGAUAUUCUUGAGAAAUUCAAGAGUUUUUUACUUCUCUACUCUACUAAGUAUCUUUAAGAGUGAGAGACUCUCAUAGAUACUGUAGAGUACAACAUUCACGCCUGGCGGUCCUUAGUUUAGUGAUAAGUUCAAUCUAUGAUUAGCAACUAUUUAUCAUCAUUUUUUGAUACUUUAAAAUUAGAGAUAUUCUUGAGAAAUUCAAGGGUUCUCUAAUGAGUAUCAUUGAGAGUAAGAAACUCUUAUUGAUACUGUCUUGUACAAACAUACACUCCUGUUGAUUCAGGUAUUCUCUUAGUUCAGUCCAAGUUAAGAUUUGUAACUGUUUAUCUACAUUAUAUAAAAUUGCUUUGUUUUGUAAGUGCUUUACAAGUUUGUUGCAGCUUAGCCUACCAAAUGAAUCCAAGUGCACCAUUGUAGAUAUUUUUUAAAAGCAGGAUUGAUGAACAACUAAACAAACAAUAUUGUGGAGAUACAUGUGAAUUAUAAUGGAGAUGCCACCAGAUAUUCAAUGCAUUGGAGAGCAGCUCUACUACCAAAGUGGAGAUGUGGAUCACUGGAUGUGGUAUGAGAUAUCUGGUAACCAUAUUUUCAGUAGUCAAGACAGGAUAGAAUUCUCUAACACUUCCCUAUUCUAACACAGAUAUCAAGCUAGGGCCGGGAUGUUUAUGGUGGUUACUAUUAUGACACAGUUCAUCCCGACCCUUUCGGCAGUGCCAUGUUCUAUCCGGUUGGUUCUGAGUCCAAUGGGUGCUUUCAAGUUAGAGUCAACUGACCUGCAGAUCGCAUUUCCGCGUGCCAACAACUGGACGAACAUGUGCUACUGUUAGAUUGUGGUUUAUGGAUGGCUGUGGAGUAAGAAAAUCACCUUGAAUAGGGUUUGAGUUGUCAGGGUCCCUGUAGGAUAUUUGCAGUUGUCAGUCGACUAUUACAUUUCUGAUCAGUGCCCUUUGUGGUGGUGCCACAGCUUUUUCAUGAUGGUUGCGGGCUCAGUACAGCACUAAUUUGAUGAGCAGGUGGUACUGUUACACUGUGGCCUGGUCUGACUUGUUCUAUGAGACUGGCGAUGCAAAUAUUAGAUUGUAGUGCCUUCAGCAAACUUAGGGAUGGGGGUGUGAGAAUUAUCUGUCUUAAGAAUUAGAAUUAAGAAAAAUACGUUUAUAUCUGAGGCUGGAGUGAUAUUAAGUAUAGUCUCUAGCCUUUGCUAGUUGGCGGGGUGAAGCCUCUAGCCUUUGCUAGUUGGCGGGGAAGGGAAAAUAUAGCCUCUAGCCUUUGCUAGUUGGCGGGGUUAAGCCUCUAGCCUUUGCUAGUUGGCGGGGAGAAUGGAAAUCACCGCUAUCUUGUGAUAGCCUUGGGUUAAUCUUAGUUUUAACAUAAUUUUAAGUCUUAACUUGCAUGCAAUUUACUUAAUAGGUGACACUUCCCCAUCGGUAGGGGAAAUGCACAAGGUAUUUUGCAUCAAAGAGGGUGUAUCACCCUUGGAGAUGCUGGGAAGUGGAGAUAUUCUUGAGAAAUUCAAGAGUUUUUUACUUCUCUACUCUACUAAGUAUCUUUAAGAGUGAGAGACUCUCAUAGAUACUGUAGAGUACAACAUUCACGCCUGGCGGUCCUUAGUUUAGUGAUAAGUUCAAUCUAUGAUUAGCAACUAUUUAUCAUCAUUUUUUGAUACUUUAAAAUUAGAGAUAUUCUUGAGAAAUUCAAGGGUUCUCUAAUGAGUAUCAUUGAGAGUAAGAAACUCUUAUUGAUACUGUCUUGUACAAACAUACACUCCUGUUGAUUCAGGUAUUCUCUUAGUUCAGUCCAAGUUAAGAUUUGUAACUGUUUAUCUACAUUAUAUAAAAUUGCUUUGUUUUGUAAGUGCUUUACAAGUUUGUUGCAGCUUAGCCUACCAAAUGAAUCCAAGUGCACCAUUGUAGAUAUUUUUUAAAAGGAUUGAUGAACAACUAAACAAACAAUAUUGUGGAGAUACAUGUGAAUUAUAAUGGAGAUGCCACCAGAUAUUCAAUGCAUUGGAGAGCAGCUCUACUACCAAAGUGGAGAUGUGGAUCACUGGAUGUGGUAUGAGAUAUCUGGUAACCAUAUUUUCAGUAGUCAAGACAGGAUAGAAUUCUCUAACACUUCCCUAUUCUAACACAGAUAUCAAGCUAGGGCUGGGAUGUUUAUGGUGGUUACUAUUAUGACACAGUUCAUCCCGACCCCUUCGGCAGUGCCUUGUUCUAUCCGGUUGGUUCUGAGUCCAAUGGGUGCUUUCAAGUUAGAGUCAACUGACCUGCAGAUCGCAUUUCCGCGUGCCAACAACUGGACGAACAUGUGCUACUGUUAGAUUGUGGUUUAUGGAUGGCUGUGGAGUAAGAAAAUCACCUUGAAUAGGGUUUGAGUUGUCAGGGUCCCUGUAGGAUAUUUGCAGUUGUCAGUCGACUAUUACAUUUCUGAUCAGUGCCCUUUGUGGUGGUGCCACAGCUUUUUCAUGAUGGUUGCGGGCUCAGUACAGCACUAAUUUGAUGAGCAGGUGGUACUGUUACACUGUGGCCUGGUCUGACUUGUUCUAUGAGACUGGCGAUGCAAAUAUUAGAUUGUAGUGCCUUCAGCAAACUUAGGGAUGGGGGUGUGAGAAUUAUCUGUCUUAAGAAUUAGAAUUAAGAAAAAUACGUUUAUAUCUGAGGCUGGAGUGAUAUUAAGUAUAGUCUCUAGCCUUUGCUAGUUGGCGGGGUGAAGCCUCUAGCCUUUGCUAGUUGGCGGGGAAGG
rnacentral:lncRNA from 1 species